UGGGCUUGUGGGGUCCCAGGGCAUGUUUGGAGGAGCAUAUUGGUGAGAUCUGAGUAGCGGUGUAGUGCAUGCAGUGGGACAGGGGACAGCAUUGGUCAAUGUGUAUGGUUGAAAACAAGCUUGGACAUAGCGUGUGGGGUUUGUAGGAGUAUUUUGGAGUAGGUAAAAAAAAGGUGCGGGAUCACUGAGGAGUUGGGUGAACAGGUGGCGUGAAGGUGUUAAUGGGGAAGUUGGAGGGUGCUGUGCACGAGUGGUUGAAUAAUUGGUAGAAAGGGACAAAAAAGCAAAUACAUAACGAAAAUAUUAUUAACACGUUAACAUUCUGGGAAUGGGGAGAUCAAGUAGUACUUGGCUGUAAAAAAGUUCCUGAUAUGAGGGCUAGAAAGAAUAUUGAACAGUAUAAGGAACAAAGUAUUUUAUCAAAAAGUAAUGACCUUAAAAGAAGUGUGUAAGUUCUUGUAUACAAGAAUGAGAAGUAUGAGAAAGAAAUCAACAAGGAAAAUGGCCUAUUUGCUCCCUGGAUAUACAUUUGCUAGAAUGAUGCUGAUUUUUCAUUGGUGGCUUCUAGGAGCAAUGUUGUUACAUGGAAUAACAUUCCUGAUUUCAGGCCAGCAGGAUCCUGAAGCUUAAAAGGGUUAAAUUAAUCAUCACACACUGGAAUGCUGCGCUGGUACUGCAAGAGAUGCUGUCGUUGAGGAAGUAUAAGUGUGUCAACCCAAGUGACCCUUCUUUGGAGCUUGAUCCAGUUUCCAUUCAAGUCAAGGCAUAGUCUAAGGCCAGCUACGUGAGAAGAGGCAGUGACUGGCCACCCCGGCAAGCUGUAGGAGAAAGAAGCAAAUCUGAUAUGAACCAGUCUUGUGGGAAAACCUCUUCUCCAUCCCCUCAAAUGGUGAUCUGGUGAGACUCACAGCACACCAAGGAAUCCAUUCAGACAGCCACACAUAGCCGGGGUGGGAUGCAGAGAUCCAACUGCAGGGACUGAAUGGUCUGUCCAAUCCCAAAAGGGGCC